rnacentral:rRNA from 1 species
ACGGCUCAGUAACACGUAGUCAAUCUAACCUAUGGACGAGGAUAAUCUCGGGAAACUGAGAAUAAUACUCGAUAGAUCAUUAUGCCUGGAAUGGUUUAUGGUCCAAAUGAAUUUCGCCAUAGGGUGGGACUGCGGUCUAUCAGCUUGUUGGUGAGGUAAUGGCCCACCAAGGCUAUAACAGAUACGGGCUCUGAGAGGAGAGGCCCGGAGAUGGGUACUGAGACACGGACCCAGGCCCUAUGGGGCGCAGCAGGCGAGAAAACUUUGCAAUGUGCGAAAGCACGACAAGGUUAAUCCGAGUGGUUCCUGCUAAAGGAAUCUUUUGUUAGUCGUAACACCACUGAUGAAUAAGGGGUGGGCAAGUUCUGGUGUCAGCCGCCGCGGUAAAACCAGCACCUCAAGUGGCCAGGAGGAUUAUUGGGCCUAAAGCAUCCGUAGCCGGCUCUGUAAGUUUUCGGUUAAAUCUAUAUGCUCAACAUAUGGGCUGCCGGGAAUACUGCACAGCUAGGGAGUGGGAGAGGUAGACGGUACUCCGUAGGAAGGGGUAAAAUCCUUUGAUCUAUGGAUGACCACCUGUGGCGAAGGCGGUCUACCAGAACACGUCCGACGGUGAGGGAUGAAAGCUGGGGGAGCAAACCGGAUUAGAUACCCGGGUAGUCCCAGCUGUAAACUAUGCAAACUCAGUGAUGCAUUGGCUUGUGGCCAGUGCAGUACCGCAGGGAAGCCGUUAAGUUUGCCGCCUGGGAAGUACGUACGCAAGUAUGAAACUUAAAGGAAUUGGCGGGGGAGCAC